rnacentral:tRNA from 1 species
GGGGGUAUAGCUCAGUUGGUAGAGCGUCAGCUUUGCAAGCUGAAUGUCUAGGGUUCGAAUCCCUAUGCCUCCA